AAUAAAAGUUUUAUCCUAGCUGGUUCUUUCAUUAUUAGGUUAAUG
rnacentral:rRNA from 1 species